rnacentral:misc_RNA from 1 species
AAUUAAUUGUAUUUUAAAUACAAAGUGGAGAAGGCUAUUGGUGCGAGCCCACGGUCAGAGUCAGUUGUUCCUGAUCCAGUCCCAAAAUCUAACCAUAAAAUUCUACGUACAUAUAUAUAACUGCUGCAACUCAGACAUCACACAAUUGCAAAGAUAAUGAAAAUAAAUACAUUCAUCUAAUAGAUAGAGAUGUAUAAAACAGAAGGACUCCAACUAGAAAACAGGAGUGCACCAACAGGACUCUCAAAGAACACAAAGGACUGCUUUACAAUUUGUUUGAUCAAAAGAACCCAAAAAUCGCAGCAUUCCAGGAAUCUGCAUACAAAUGCCAUGGCAUAUGUAGAUAAAUCUCCACCUACAAAAUCCCCUUUUGAUCAUUCACUAAUGUCAGCACAUCAUAAUAGUCCCUUUGAGAAGUCCAGCAUUUUGAUGAAAUUAACUGUCCAAAGGAAAAAAGGGUAGGGUAUCACAUUAAAUUUGCAGGUAUUACAAGUCUCAAAAUGUUAGAUUAGUUUCAUAUAUUUUACAGGAAAUAGCAAAUCUCGGUUUUCUCACCUGGAUAUGUAUCAACUUCAUAAAGAAAGACACUAAUAAUAGUAAAGCUCAGUUUUCUCACCUGGAUAUGCCUCAACUUCAUAAAGAAGGCAACUAAUAAAAAUAUAGAUCCUCAAAGUCAGACAUAGCACUGCGAGAACUCAUAGUAGACAUCAUCAUCAAUCAAUAAAUCAAUCUAACAAAAUUCAGAUAGGUAGCCUUCAUAAUAUGAUCCAGUGUCAGCAAUUUCAGCAUCAGAUGGAUUAGUCAUCAAUGGAAUCAGAGGGAAGCCGCAAAUCUUUGAUCCGUUCUGCACAUCUUUUCCAUAAAUGUCCUUCUAGACGGACAUUAAAACAUUGGCGCAGGUCCAAUGAUUCAAGGUUUGGACAACCAUCUAGAAUGGCUUGCAAGCCUUCAUUUGUCAGCUUAUUUCCAAAAAUCUGAAGGCAGGGUAAAUGAGGCAUGUUUUCUGCAACAGCCAAUGCCUCUUCAUUGCACUCUAUACAUGGAUGCCUGAACCCCUGGUUAUUUAGCUUAAAUGAUCUAAGUAGAGGACAACAAUGCCCAACAACUUCAAGAGCCUGCUUUGAUAAUGAGCAAAUAUGAAAUGUCAAGCUCCUCCAGCUAUGGAAAUUCUACAGCUGCUUCACUAAAUCCCUCACCUGAAAUGCUAUACCAGUCAAAGUCGUUUAAGAUGACUUGAUCUGUAAUGUGGUGAUCAUAGACCAAAAUAUUAGAUAUAAGCAGAUUGGUACCAACACAUAUAUAAAGAGAAAUUGAGUGCAACAUUUUCAGUAUAGGAACUAACAGAAGGAAGCUUCAACAUAGAGUAUUAGAAGAAGAAAUAUAUUGUCAGAGGAUACACAUUCUAUCAUGUCUCGCAAUACUACAAGAUAGGCACCUUUUAAGCUCAAUUGAAUCCCAAGAAUGGUAGACACUUGUGAGGAAACAACAAAAAGAAGUGGGUACUAUGUGCAAAUUGUAAGUCAUUGUUUUCAUAGGUAGGUUUAAAGCAAUGGAAACCUGCUUCUUUGUUGAUGAUUAAACACAAGAAAAAUUUCCUCCUUCCAAGGUAAGCCAUAACUGAAACAAGAUUUAUAGUUGUAGAGAGUAUUUCCAAGUACUUCUAGACACAAAAUAUUAGAACACACAAGAAAGGAUCCAAGGAUCCAACUGAUUUUUCUUACUAAUUGACUAUCACAUCCUUCUUCAUAAAGCCCACAUUUUCUUUUCUUUUUCUCACCUUUUCCCGCUUUUGGAGGUGAGCAAAAUUAUGCUAAUGAAAAAGAAGUAGUAAAUGCUUCAAAAGCUUCUCAACAGCCACCAAAUGAUAAUAAAAAAAAAAUUAUAACAAAUGAUUCAAAGCUUCCCAAUAGCCCUAGUCAGUCAUAGGACACCAUGUGAAAACCUCGGCUACCUAGCUAAAUCAUUCAACCUCAUCGAUAAAGGCAUAAAAUAAGAAUCAGCAAUCUGAAAAGCAUGUCAAAACACAACAUGAUAAGUAACCUGAAUUUCAAAUAUAUAGUGCCCGAUGGCCAACAGGCCUGUACCUGGCUUGAAUUAUCUACCAAAUUGUUUUCCUAUGGUUGUUCCAAUUCCAACCCAAUGCUUGUUGUCCUAGAAUUUCUCAAGGCUAAUUUUAUUUCAUCUAAAUGUAGAUUAAUAGAACAUAUUCCUAUAAAUAAAAAAUGGACAACAACUAGUAACAGCCACAAUGACUCAAAUUAUCGACUCAUAUACGAACACAAAAUUAUAAGAAUAACUUCAACUUGUUCCCCCUGCUAAUGGCUUCAGUAAACCACAAACAACGAAGUACAGAAGUUCCAUAUUCAAUUCAAAAUUAUCACAACAAAGAAAACCCUUUUUGUAAGAAUCCACAAGAAAACAAGUCAACCCCAGCAAUACAGUUAAAUAAACAAAAUUCCAUUUCCACCAACCAUCAAUAACUAUCGGCUAUGUAUUUGAGGAGAUCAUCAGUACCAAAAUACUCGAUGUUGAUAUCUACCAAGCCACCAGAACUCCUAUCAACAGCAUGCCUACACAUUUUCUUAAGACCAUAAUCCAUGUGCCAGAGAUCACCCAAAUUGCGCAUGUCGAUCGAUCUCCACACGGAGGGGUCCUUCCAAACGCUACGCCACGUGGAGCAGACGAGCUGCGCGGCGCUCAAGAUCUCGACCGCCCCAAGCUUCCAGAGGAUCGACGCCGUAACGUCCUGUGUCAGUUCCACCCAGUUCCGAUAUGGUUCUUGUGGUGGUGGCAAGAGUGAAUCCAUGGUUGAAGAAUUGAGUUUGGAAAAGAGUAGUCAGUUAUGAGGUUGUGACUAGGGUUUGGUUAGUAUCUGGUGCAGGAGUUUGGUUGUGCUUGGAACUUACGUGACGAUGCAGGAUUUUCUGGUGAAUGACUGAUGAAUCUUGGAUUUGGG